UUCCGGUUGAUCCUGCCGGAGGCUACCGCUAUUGGAGUUCGAUUAAGCCAUGCGAGUCGCGAGUCCUAGGGACUCGGCGUACCGCUCAGUAACACGUGGGUAACCUGCCCUAUGCUGGGGGAUAACCUCGGGAAACUGAGAAUAAUACCCCAUAGUUCACCACGCCUGGAACGGUGGGUGGAUCAAAGCUCCGGCGGCAUAGGAUGGGCCUGCGGCGUAUCAGGUUGUAGGGGGUGUAAUGUACCCUCUAGCCCUCUACGCGUACGGGUGUUGAGAGACAUCGCCCGGAGAUGGAUUCUGAGACACGAAUCCAGACCCUACGGGGUGCAGCAGGCGCGAAAACUUGGCAAUGCGAGAAAUCGUGACCAGGGAACUCCAAGUGCAUCGGGUAAGACCGAUGCUUUUCUUGACUCUUCAAAGGUCUUGGAAUAAGGGGUGGGUAAGGACGGUGCCAGCCGCCGCGGUAAUACCGGCGCCCCAAGUGGUAGUCGCUUUUAUUGGGCCUAAAACGUCCGUAGCCGGUCUGGUACAUUCGUGGGUAAAUCAACCAGCUCAACUGGUUGAAUUCUGCGAGCACGGCCAGACUUGGGACCGGGAGAGGUGUGGGGUACUCUCAGGGUAGGGGUAAAAUCCUGUCAUCCUGAGAGGACCACCUGUUGCGAAGGCGCCACACUAGAACGGAUCCGACGGUCAGGGACGAAGCCUAGGGGCACGAACCGGAUUAGAUACCCGGGUAGUCCUAGGUGUAAACGCUGUGGACUUGAUGUUGGGGGCGCUCCGAGCGCACUCAGUGUCGAAGCGAAGGUGAUAAGUCCACUGCCUGGGGAGUACGGUCGCAAGGCUGAAACUUAAAGGAAUUGGCGGGGGAGCACCGCAACCUGAGGAUUGUGCGGUUUAAUUGGAGUCAACGCCGG
rnacentral:rRNA from 1 species